UACGUAGGGUGCAAGCGUUGUCCGGAAUUAUUGGGCGUAAAGAGCUCGUAGGCGGUUUGUUGCGUCGGCUGUGAAAUCCCGAGGCUCAACCUCGGAUCGGCCGUGGCGACUCGUGGGCUGGAGCACUGUAGAGGCGGGUGGAAUUCCGGGUGUAGCGGUGGAAUGCGUAGAGAUCCGGAGGAAGACCGGUGGCGAAGGCGGCCUGCUGGGCAGUUACUGACACUGAGGCGCGACAGCGUGGGGGAGCAAACAGG
rnacentral:rRNA from 1 species